UUUCCGUAGGUGAACCUGCGGAAGGAUCAUUGUUGAGAGAGCAUUGAACGACGGAUGGCUGUGAAUGUGUCAACGCGCCCCUUUCGCUGCCCCAUGUUGGCAGUUGAUUGAUCGUAGCUCGGUGCGAUCUGCACCAAGGAACAAUGAACUCAGAAGCAUAUGGCCCUCAGCGUGCGCCCUCAAAUCAAAUGACUCUCGGCAAUGGAUAUCUCGGCUCUUGCAUCGAUGAAGAACGUAGUGAAAUGCGAUACUUGGUGUGAAUUGCAGAAUCUCGUGAACCAUUGAGUCUUUGAACGCAAGUUGUGCCCGAGGCCUUGUGGCCGAGGGCACGCCUGCUUGGGCGUCAUGGCAUCGUCGCCUUUGCUCCUUGCUCUGUCGGUGCCAAGCGCGGAAAUUGGCCUCGUGUGCCCUCGGGCACAGUCGGCUGAAGAGUGGGUAAUCCGCAGUCGUCGGGCGCGAUGGGUGUUGGUCGCCCUGUGCGUGAACUGAACGUCGUCCCCGUCGUGUUGAGAUGAGUCCUCAAGAGACCCUGUGUGAUAGCGGCGUCGCAUAAAAGCGUCGUGUCCAUCAAAUUGUGGCCCCAAGUCAGGCGAGG
rnacentral:rRNA from 1 species